GGACCUGGAGGUCUGAGGAGGACCUGGAGGUCUGAGGAGGACCUGGAGGGCAGGGAGGGGACAGACCAGGGUUGCUGGAGGACCAUGAGGCCCGCUGCUCUCUGCUCUACUCUUCUUCGUUGGUGGGCAGGAUCACAUCCCAGAAGGAGGUUCCCAACCUUACCUGCAACAUACCAGAAUUCCUUGGUAAAUUCGUUUUGAGGCGACUAUCCUCCUGGAGAAGCCGAAGAUCACACUACAGACUUCUGAAGACCUGAACUUUAUAAGGACCAUUAAGGACCAUUAUCCUGUUGAAGACCCAACAAUCUCCAACAUACUGGACUUUAGGUGGGUCUCAUUGGGGCCCAUCAGGACCUGCUGAAGACCCAACAACCUCCAACAUACUGGACUUUAGGUGGGUCUCAUUGGGGCCAUCAGGACCUGCUGAAGACCCAACUGUCCCCAACAUCCUGGACUUUAGUUGGGUCUCAUUGGGGCCAUCAGGACCUGCUGAAGACCCAACAGUCCCCAACAUACUGGACUUUAGUUGGGUCUCAUUGCAGCCAUCAGCACCUGCUGAAGACCCAACAAUCUCCAACAUACUGGACUUCAGUUGGGUCUCAUUGCGGCCAUCAGCACCUGCUGAAGACCCAACAAUCUCCAACAUACUGGACUUCAGUUGGGUCUCAUUGCGGCCAUCAGGACCCGCUGAAGACCCAACUGUCCCCAACAUACUGGACUUCAAAUGGACCUCAUCAGGAUCAUCAACCUCAACAGUUUUUAUGGGACUGAGUUUACAUUCAGGGCAGGUGGGACUUCAUGAUGGACCUGGAACCACCUGGAUUCCAGGAUU